CAGACCUUGCAGUGCCGCCUGGUCUUGCUGCCCUGGGAAGUGGUCUGAGGGACUUCAGAUGGGAAAUGCCUGGCUGUAAGGCGCAGAGGAGUGUCCAAGGCAGGACGCCCGCCUUUGGUUGGACCUCGCAAUGUGCUGUACUCCUCCAGCAGCCCUCUCAUCAGCACACAGACUGGCUUCAUCAUUGGUUGCCCAGUGAGGUGAUCCAGCUUGCCUGUGGCUGCCAUACCAGUUGGAUGGACUGUGGUGAACUUUGGCAUCCCUUUUCUGUUUCCGCGCAUGGUCCCACAAGCUCCAGU